UACGUAGGCAGCAAGCGUUGUUCGGAGUUACUGGGCGUAAAGGGUGUGUAGGCGGUUGUUUUAAGUUUGGUGUGAAAUCUCCCGGCUCAACCGGGAGGGUGCGCCGAAUACUGAAUAACUAGAGUGCGGGAGAGGAAAGUGGAAUUCCUGGUGUAGCGGUGAAAUGCGUAGAUAUCAGGAGGAACACCGGUGGUGUAGACGGCUUUCUGGACCGUAACUGACGCUGAGACACGAAAGCGUGGGUAGCAAACAGG
rnacentral:rRNA from 1 species